rnacentral:rRNA from 1 species
UACGUAGGGUGCGAGCGUUGUCCGGAAUUAUUGGGCGUAAAGAGCUUGUAGGCGGUUUGUCGCGUCUGCCGUGAAAUUUCGGGGGCUCAACCCCGAACUUGCGGUGGGUACGGGCAGACUAGAGUGUGGUAGGGGAGACUGGAAUUCCUGGUGUAGCGGUGAAAUGCGCAGAUAUCAGGAGGAACACCGGUGGCGAAGGCGGUUCUCUGGGCCUGUACUGACGCUGAGGAACGAAAGCGUGGGGAGCGAACAGG